UACGAAGGGGGCUAGCGUUGCUCGGAAUCACUGGGCGUAAAGCGCACGUAGGCGGACUCUUAAGUCGGUGGUUAAAUCCUGGAGCUCAACUCCAGAACUGCCUUCGAUACUGAGAGUCUCGAGUCCGAGAGAGGUGAGUGGAACUGCGAGUGUAGAGGUGAAAUUCGUAGAUAUUCGCAAGAACACCAGUGGCGAAGGCGGCUCACUGGCUCGGUACUGACGCUGAGGUGCGAAAGUGUGGGGAGCAAACAGG
rnacentral:rRNA from 1 species